UAAACUCUUUUGAAAGGGAAGUGAGACCGGCCGGGGUGUGCACGUCGUCGCCGCGAUACCAGAGCCGGUGAGGUAAAGGCCGGUGGCGAGGCGACGGCCUUUGGAUCUGUGCCGCUGGCGGAGGUCGGCGACUUGCGGCAGGGCCUAGAAGAGCGGUGUUCCUUAGCUGGCGGUAGUCGGGUCGUGGAAGUCGGCGGCCUAAACUGGUCUGGGAGUGGCGAAAGCCGGUUCGGUUAGCGGGCUGCUGAACGCCGAAGAUUACCGCCUAGGCCACAGGCGACGACAGCGACAUCCUACCCGGUACUUUCGGCGACCCACCCACCGGAGCGGGUAGUAGAGGCUCGAGAUGUUCUUUCGGAGGAGGGAGGAGUUGAAACUACGCAGCGUCUUCGAGUUCCUUGACCUCGGUUUCUAAAACGAAGACGUCGCGCACUACCUUUAUCAGCUCCUCUCGGGAAUGUCCGUAGCAGACGUCGUCGACAAGUUGCUAGAAUUCAGACGAAAGAUGCUUCGUCUCCUGUAGAACCUACUACAACUCAUAAUGGAGGAUCUCUUUGUCUAUGUCCUACUGAUAGAGUUCAAUCUCCACCGGCCCGGAGCUGCGUUGUUCUCAGUACACUUCUUCGAGAACUGCAGACGGUACUUUUUCACGUUGAAGGACUUUCUAGUCCUGACACCGUACAGUUUUUAGCUCAACUUCGUCUCGGAUCUUUUUUAUCUUUUCCAGUAUUUACUACGUACACCUAAAAAACUUGUCUACUUGAACGGUUUGUUUUCGUUACAAUUAAACUCGUUUGGACGGUUGAGUGCUCCACGCCAGUGAUGCCGCUCCGGAGGUGGAGACCAUUAGCCUUCUCUAUUUCUAACACUAUUGUAUCAACGUUACGAAGUACUAUUCCUUCUUCUACGAGUUGGUCUGUGGUUAUCCCGAGUUACAAUAAGGCAUUAGCCGUAAGUACCGUAGUCACCAAGACCUUUUAGUUGGGAAAGUGUUGAACAAACACGAGCACUCGUUUUCCUACCAGUAAAGUUGGAACAAUACACCCAAGUGCAAAGAGUCCUAAAAUCACACCUACGGUAAAAGUCCGUCUACAGACUCCGGCGAUCGUCCUGGGGCACGGGAGUCAAGUUAUUAGAACUGUGGAAUGUCUGAUUAAACCUCUUCUUUGACGUACCUUUUGCCAAGGAGAACCAUGAUCUACUACAAACCAUGUUAUUAUCUCUACACUCCGUCAUACUCUUCGACGUUGUCUAUGAAAGUGGCGACUUACGACCUCUCCGUCCUUCGUUCUAGGACCACUGAUCAGCUUGAUUUCUGCGUAACUAUCGAGACCCACGACAUCUCGUCUCUACAUAAGGGUACAGUCAGGAUCUAUUUCUACAGAAGGACUUUAACAAGUUCGUGAUACGUAAAGUCUUGCACACGCAACGACGACUACUGGCUUAUUCUGAGCUUCUGUAACACUGAGUGUAACGUUUUUUCGACUUCCCUAGUGGAGACCGCCGGUUUUAACAACCUCCUGUCGAUGCAUACUCCGGUUUGUAACUAAUGACCUCUUCAAGGGCUCUACCCUUGGUGAACCUACUGUGGUACCCUCGAGACACCACCUCGAUGGUUGUAGAACUACUUGUCCAGUCUGCUACGAAACGAAUGACGUCAUAAAAAGGAGCUUCUGCAAUGAACCUUGCUGUACUCAAUCAAUUCGAAACCCGACGUCUUCCCAAACGAUCUUCAUCGCUACUUCCGUUCCUAAACCUUCUACAAACGGUCCCUAUGAAACUACAUGAUCACAGUCGGAGUAAAGACGUUGGACUUCAUCCCUUCAUGAGGUUAUUUUACCUGCGAAUAUAUCAAGUACUAGACAACGAACUAAAUCGCCUAUUCCAGCGACCUUCACUAACAAAGUCUUAGCUCUUAGUCACCUUUUCCAGUCCUCUAUUGACCUGUUACCUUCCUACACUUCUACUUCAAGGGGGUCUGCAGGCGGUACAAAAACAAGUCUGGAUACCAAGUCUUAACUAGUAACUCUUUUAUACAUUUAACCUAUUGGACGCGUGAGAGUAGUAACUGUCACGUCUUACCUUUUUUGGUCAACUCCUCUUUCAGGAGUUCUCAGACAAACGCUUCGAUUCCUUCAACGCCCACGAAUAGUAUCGAUCACUAGUUCCUUUAAGUUUCGUAACCGUCCGACUGUAAUGAAGCUUGCGACCUUUGUAAACUUCAUUCUUUCCUUGUUCCCACGCUCAAUUUCGUUGAGUCGCUGGAUUUGGUCGAAACGCCGUUUGACUGAUAGAACCCGGAGGUUUUGCAACUUUCGGUCGUCCUUCGAGAACUUCGGUUGGAUCGGCUAUUUGUUCCCGAGUCUUGUAACCUUGACACCACCUUAAUACUACUGUCUCGUCUCAAUUUUCUUUUCUUUCAAGUCUGUCUCCAUGAUCUCCCAGAUACGGGUGGCUUCGAAGAGCUUAGUGACUGGUAUAUGACGAUGCUACCAAACUCGAUGGGUUCAACCUACUACCCAUUCGUGUUACCACCGGGUUUCAUAGAGUUGUGUGAGUCGGACGUGACAACGUCGUGUUUUGAACCGGGUCUUGAACCACCCAAAACGAGGGUGGAGGCAAGUGAGAUAUAGAAGCCAACGUCGACCCUGUGGAACGGUCUAGUUUACCUCGUGGACUGCAGUGACUUCCUGGACCCGGAGUUCCCGACGUCCUUAUAAGCCAGCGAAGGUUGCGACGGCGUCAGAGAACUCACGAAGUUUGAGUCAGCGAGGUUACUCUACAACUACUCAAGUACGUCUUGUCAACCUCUAGGGUUAACCCUUUUCGAAGUCGUGCAAGGACAUCGUAUACAACUACCGAUGGCCGACCUUUCCUCUCGGGUUAUAUGAAGUAGUAGUCUCGGACUCUGGGGGAUUUUGCACUUCAGCACACUAGGAAUUUGGGCGGAUGGUUAUAUGAACCAGGUAACAUACGGUGACUAGAACACUCACUUCGCCACGACGGCGCCAGUGGCGCAGUAGCCGACCGAUGUGCGACGUCUUAGACUACUACAUACGUUUAUUGCGUGUGACCAAAAUAGAAAAAAUUGGAGGGUCACCCGAUAUAUACCAGGAACUAUUGCUUUGCACGUUGAUAUAUGGGACAUUUUUACCACACUUGGGUAACUUGUGACUUGAGCGCACAAAGGGAACCAAACAUUGUAGCGCCUUCUCUACGAGUUGUAGGUUAAAUAGACAGAGGCUACCAAACGUUAUUUGACAACUUUAUAAUCGCCAACAACCUAUCAACGCAAUA
rnacentral:rRNA from 1 species